rnacentral:rRNA from 1 species
UACGGAGGAGGCAAGCGUUAUCCGGAAUUAUUGGGCGUAAAGCGUCCGCAGGUGGCUCUUCAAGUCUGUCGUCAAAGACUGGGGCUUAACCCUGGAAAGGCGGUGGAAACUGAAGCGCUAGAGUGCGGUAGGGGUAGAGGGAAUUCCCGGUGUAGUGGUGAAAUGCGUAGAGAUCGGGAGGAACACCUGUGGCGAAGGCGGCCGACUGGGCCGACCCUGACGCUGAGGCGCGAAGGCGUGGGGAGCGAACGGG